AAAACAUAGAUAUUUGGGGAUACUGCAGAGAUAUCUUUCACGAGGAGCGAAGAGAUUGGCGGUGGUGGGAAAGUAUAAGACAAUAUAUGUACGCUAAUGGAAACUCUUGGUACAACCAGCAUCAGCCAACUAUACACCAGCAGAUGUAUUACAACCAGGCCGGAUAAAUAUAUGUAUAUAUGAAUAUAUAAAUAUAUAAAUACAUAAAACAU